rnacentral:rRNA from 1 species
AGAGUUUGAUAUGGCUCAGAUUGAACGCUGGCGGCAGGCCUAACACAUGCAAGUCGAGCGGAAACGACACUAACAAUCCUUCGGGUGCGUUAAUGGGCGUCGAGCGGCGGACGGGUGAGUAAUGCCUAGGAAAUUGCCUUGAUGUGGGGGAUAACCAUUGGAAACGAUGGCUAAUACCGCAUAAUGCCUACGGGCCAAAGAGGGGGACCUUCGGGCCUCUCGCGUCAAGAUAUGCCUAGGUGGGAUUAGCUAGUUGGUGAGGUAAUGGCUCACCAAGGCGACGAUCCCUAGCUGGUCUGAGAGGAUGAUCAGCCACACUGGAACUGAGACACGGUCCAGACUCCUACGGGAGGCAGCAGUGGGGAAUAUUGCACAAUGGGCGAAAGCCUGAUGCAGCCAUGCCGCGUGUAUGAAGAAGGCCUUCGGGUUGUAAAGUACUUUCAGUUGUGAGGAAGGGUGUGUAGUUAAUAGCUGCGCAUCUUGACGUUAGCAACAGAAGAAGCACCGGCUAACUCCGUGCCAGC